rnacentral:rRNA from 1 species
UACGGGGGGGGCAAGCGUUGUUCGGAAUUACUGGGCGUAAAGGGUGCGUAGGCGGCGCGGUAAGUCGGGUGUGAAAUCUCGGAGCUUAACUCCGAAACUGCAUUCGAUACUGCCGUGCUUGAGGACUGGAGAGGAGACUGGAAUUUACGGUGUAGCGGUGAAAUGCGUAGAUAUCGUAAGGAAGACCAGUGGCGAAGGCGGGUCUCUGGACAGUUCCUGACACUGAGGCACGAAGGCCAGGGGAGCAAACGGG